rnacentral:rRNA from 1 species
GAUGAACGCUAGCGGCAGGCCUAAUACAUGCAAGUCGAACGAGAUUAAGAGGCUUGCUUCUUAUGAAAGUGGCGCACGGGUGCGUAACGCGUAUGCAACCUACCUUAAUAAGGGGGAUAGCCCGAAGAAAUUCGGAUUAAGACCGCAUAAAAACACAGGAGAGCAUUAUCCAAUGAUCAAAAAUUUAUAGGUUUAAGAUAGGCAUGCGUGUCAUUAGCUAGUUGGCGGGGUAACGGCCCACAAAGGCGACGAUGACUAUGGGAUCUGAGAGGAUGACCCCCCGCACUGGUACUAAGACACAGACCAGAAGACGACGCGACAGAGCAGUAAGGAAUAUUAGUCAAUGGAGGGAACUCUGAACCAGCCGUGCCAUGUGUAGGAACACAGCCCUCUGAGUCGUAAACUGCUUUUAUUCGGCAAUAAUCCUUUUUACGUGUAGGAGGUUGAAUGUACCGAAGGAAUAAGGAACGGCUAACUCCGUG